UGACGCCCCCUGGUCCUGACUCCCAGCCGCCACGCCCUGACACACUUCCCCGGUGCCAGGUCGGAGCGGAUGGGGAUCAGGACCCGGGGUCCGGCCCCC
rfam:Microbacterium sp. C448 genomic scaffold, scaff42